AUACCUUUCUCAGCCUUUUGGCUAAGAUCAAGUGUAGUAUCUGUUCUUAUCAGUUUAAUAUCUGAUAUGUGGGCCAUAUGUCCACUUUGAUAUUAAAUUUAUUUUUUUUUGGGGGAGGGUACACCAUAAUGGCUUGCCACUGGGCCCUCGUGUGUCGCUUAGGUGUUGCACUAUAGCCCUAGCCGGCGCACCCCAA
rnacentral:snRNA from 1 species